AAGGCGAAAACCGAAAAGCCUAUAAUAGAGUAGGUA
ncrna:unclassified sequences DTF805b RNA